rnacentral:rRNA from 1 species
AUUGAACGCUGGCGGCAUGCUUUACACAUGCAAGUCGAACGGUAACAGGCCGCAAGGUGCUGACGAGUGGCGAACGGGUGAGUAAUGCAUCGGAACGUGCCCAGUCGUGGGGGAUAACGCAGCGAAAGCUGCGCUAAUACCGCAUACGAUCUAUGGAUGAAAGCGGGGGACCGUAAGGCCUCGCGCGAUUGGAGCGGCCGAUGUCAGAUUAGGUAGUUGGUGGGGUAAAGGCCCACCAAGCCAACGAUCUGUAGCUGGUCUGAGAGGACGACCAGCCACACUGGGGCUGAGACACGGCCCAGACUCCUACGGGAGGCAGCAGUGGGGAAUUUUGGACUAUGGGCGCAAGCCUGAUCCAGCAAUGCCGCGUGCAGGAAGAAGGCCUUCGGGUUGUAAACUGCUUUUGUACGGAACGAAACGGUUCUCUCUAAUACAGGGGGCUAAUGACGGUACCGUAAGAAUAAGCACCGGCUAACUACGUGCCAGCCGCCGCCGUAA